rnacentral:rRNA from 1 species
UACGUAGGGGGCAAGCGUUGUCCGGAAUUAUUGGGCGUAAAGAGCGCGCAGGCGGCUCUGUAAGUCUACCGUGAAAGCUUACGGCUCAACCGUAACGGGUCGGUGGAUACUGCAGAGCUUGAGGGCAGGAGAGGAAAGUGGAAUUCCCAGUGUAGCGGUGAAAUGCGUAGAUAUUGGGAGGAACACCAGUGGCGAAGGCGACUUUCUGGACUGUUACUGACGCUGAGGCGCGAAAGCUGGGGGAGUGAACGGG